rnacentral:rRNA from 1 species
GGUCCAACCAGUGGCAACACUGGAGACGACCUAGUGGCGAACGGGUGAGUAACACGUGAGGAACCUGCCCCGAAGACCGGGAUAACCCUCCGAAAGGAGAGCUAAUACCGGAUGCCCUCUACUGAUCGCAUGUUCGGUCGAGGAAAUGGAUUCCGCUUCGGGAGGGUCUCGCGGCCUAUCAGCUUGUUGGUGAGGUAACGGCUCACCAAGGCGACGACGGGUAGCUGGUCUGAGAGGACGAUCAGCCACACUGGGACUGAGACACGGCCCAGACUCCUACGGGAGGCAGCAGUGGGGAAUCUUGCGCAAUGGGCGAAAGCCUGACGCAGCAACGCCGCGUGCGGGAUGAAGGCCUUCGGGUUGUAAACCGCUUUCAGUGGGGACGAAUUCAGACGGUACCCACAGAAGAAGCCCCGGCCAACUACGUGCCAGCAGCCGCGGUAACACGUAGGGGGCGAGCGUUGUCCGGAAUCAUUGAGCGUAAAGAGCUCGUAGGCGGCUCAGUAAGUCGGGUGUGAAACCCCCAGGCUCAACCUGGGGACGCCACCCGAUACUGCUGUGGCUAGAGUCCAGUAGGGGAGUGUGGAAGUCCCGGUGUAGCGGUGAAAUGCGCAGAUAUCGGGAGGAACACCAGCGGCGAAGGCGGCACUCUGGGCUGGAACUGACGCUGAGGAGCGAAAGCGUGGGUAGCAAACAGGAUUAGAUACCCUGGUAGUCCACGCCGUAAACGUUGGGCACUANGUGUGGGGACCCUCCAACGGUCUCCGUGCCGUAGCUAACGCAUUAAGUGCCCCGCCUGGGGAGUACGGCCG